rnacentral:rRNA from 1 species
CCUACGGGUGGCAGCAGUGGGGAAUCUUGCGCAAUGGGCGAAAGCCUGACGCAGCGACGCCGCGUGAGGGAUGAAGGUCUUCGGAUCGUAAACCUCUGUCAGCAGGGAAGAACGGUCACUGUGCUAAUCAGCAGUGACUUGACGGUACCUGCACAGGAAGCACCGGCUAACUCCGUGCCAGCAGCCGCGGUAAUACGGAGGGUGCGAGCGUUAAUCGGAAUUACUGGGCGGAAAGCGCUCGUAGGCGGUAUGGCAAGUCAAGGGUGAAAUCCCCGCGCUCAACGUGGGUAAUGCCUUUGAAACUGGCAAACUGGAGUGUGUGAGAGGAUAGUGGAAUUCCAGGUGUAGGAGUGAAAUCCGUAGAUAUCUGGAGGAACAUCAGUGGCGAAGGCGACUAUCUGGCACAUAACUGACGCUGAGGAGCGAAAGCGUGGGUAGCAAACAGGAUUAGAUACCCUUGUAGUC